rnacentral:rRNA from 1 species
UAAUACGGAGGUGGCAAGCGUUACUCGGAAUCAUUGGGUGUAAAGGGCAAGUAGGUGGUUUGUUAAGUGAGGGGUGAAAUCCUGCGACUCAAUCGCAGAACUGCCUUUCAAACUGGCAGACUUGAGGGUGGUAGAGGAAAAUGGAAUUCUCGGUGUAAGGGUGAAAUCUGUAGAUAUCGAGAAGAACACCAGCGGCGAAGGCGAUUUUCUGGACCACUCCUGACACUAAAUUGCGAAAGCUAGGGGAGCAAACAGAAUUAGAUACUCUGGUAGUCCUAGCCGUAAACGAUGAGCACUAGGUGUUGGCCCCGUAAGGGGUCAGUGCCGCAGCUAACGCAUUAAGUGCUCCACCUGGGGACUACGAUCGCAAGGUUA